rnacentral:rRNA from 1 species
CCUACGGGAGGCAGCAGUGGGGAAUAUUGGACAAUGGGCGAAAGCCUGAUCCAGCCAUGCCGCGUGUGUGAAGAAGGCCUUCGGGUUGUAAAGCACUUUCAGUGGGGAAGAAAGCCUUGGGGCUAAUACCCUCGAGGAAGGACAUCACCCACAGAAGAAGCACCGGCUAACUCCGUGCCAGCAGCCGCGGUAAUACGGAGGGUGCGAGCGUUAAUCGGAAUUACUGGGCGUAAAGCGCGCGUAGGCGGUCUGAUAAGCCGGUUGUGAAAGCCCCGGGCUCAACCUGGGAACGGCAUCCGGAACUGUCAGGCUAGAGUGCAGGAGAGGAAGGUAGAAUUCCCGGUGUAGCGGUGAAAUGCGUAGAGAUCGGGAGGAAUACCAGUGGCGAAGGCGGCCUUCUGGACUGACACUGACGCUGAGGUGCGAAAGCGUGGGUAGCAAACAGGAUUAGAUCCCCGGUAGUC